rnacentral:rRNA from 1 species
UUCUACAGGCUUAACACAUGCAAGUCGAGGGGCAUCAGGAAGAAAGCUUGCUUUCUUUGCUGGCGACCGGCGCACGGGUGAGUAACACGUAUCCAACCUGCCCUUUACUCGGGGAUAGCCUUUCGAAAGAAAGAUUAAUACCCGAUGGCAUAAUGAUUCCGCAUGGUUUCAUUAUUAAAGGAUUCCGGUAAAGGAUGGGGAUGCGUUCCAUUAGGUUGUUGGUGAGGUAACGGCUCACCAAGCCUUCGAUGGAUAGGGGUUCUGAGAGGAAGGUCCCCCACAUUGGAACUGAGACACGGUCCAAACUCCUACGGGAGGCAGCAGUGAGGAAUAUUGGUCAAUGGGCGCUAGCCUGAACCAGCCAAGUAGCGUGAAGGAUGAAGGCUCUAUGGGUCGUAAACUUCUUUUAUAUAAGAAUAAAGUGCAGUAUGUAUACUGUUUUGUAUGUAUUAUAUGAAUAAGGAUCGGCUAACUCCGUGCCAGCAGCCGCGGUAAUACGGAGGAUCCGAGCGUUAUCCGGAUUUAUUGGGUUUAGAGGGAGCGUAGGUGGACUGGUAAGUCAGUUGUGAAAGUUUGCGGCUCAACCGUAAAAUUGCAGUUGAUACUGUCAGUCUUGAGUACAGUAGAGGUGGGCGGAGUUCGUGGUGUAGCGGUGAAAUGCUUAGAUAUCACGAAGAACUCCGAUUGCGAAGGCAGCUCACUGGACUGCAACUGACACUGAUGCUCGAAAGUGUGGGUAUCAAACAGGAUUAGAUACCCUGGUAGUCCACACAGUAAACGAUGAAUACUCGCUGUUUGCGAUAUACAGUAAGCGGCCAAGCGAAAGCAUUAAGUAUUCCACCUGGGGAGUACGCCGGCAACGGUGAAACUCAAAGGAAUUGACGGGGGCCCGCACAAGCGGAGGAACAUGUGGUUUAAUUCGAUGAUACGCGAGGAACCUUACCCGGGCUUAAAUUGCAGUGGAAUGAUGUGGAAACAUGUCAGUGAGCAAUCACCGCUGUGAAGGUGCUGCAUGGUUGUCGUCAGCUCGUGCCGUGAGGUGUCGGCUUAAGUGCCAUAACGAGCGCAACCCUUAUCUUUAGUUACUAACAGGUUAUGCUGAGGACUCUAGAGAGACUGCCGUCGUAAGAUGUGAGGAAGGUGGGGAUGACGUCAAAUCAGCACGGCCCUUACGUCCGGGGCUACACACGUGUUACAAUGGGGGGUACAGAAGGCAGCUAGCGGGUGACCGUAUGCUAAUCCCAAAAGCCUCUCUCAGUUCGGAUCGAAGUCUGCAACCCGACUUCGUGAAGCUGGAUUCGCUAGUAAUCGCGCAUCAGCCACGGCGCGGUGAAUACGUUCCCGGGCCUUGUACACACCGCCCGUCAAGCCAUGGGAGCCGGGGGUACCUGAAGUACGUAACCGCAAGGAUCGUCCUAGGGUAAAACUGGUGACUGGGGC